UACAGAGGUCCCAAGCGUUGUUCGGAUUCACUGGGCGUAAAGGGUGCGUAGGCGGUCGGAUAAGUCUGAUGUGAAAUCUUCGAGCUCAACUCGGAAACUGCAUCGGAAACUAUUCGGCUAGAGGAUUGGAGGGGAGACUGGAAUUCUCGGUGUAGCAGUGAAAUGCGUAGAUAUCGGAAGGAACACCAGUGGCGAAAGCGGCUUCCUGGUCCAGCACCGACGUUCAGGCACGAAAGCGUGGGGAGCAAACAGG
rnacentral:rRNA from 1 species